rnacentral:rRNA from 1 species
AGGACGAACGCUGGCGGCGUGCUUAACACAUGCAAGUCGUGCGGAAAGGCCACUUCGGUGGUACUCGAGCGGCGAACGGGUGAGUAACACGUGAGUAAUCUGCCCUCCACUUUGGGAUAGCCACCGGAAACGGUGAUUAAUACCGGAUAUGACCUGAUGCCGCAUGGUGUUGGGUGGAAAGUUUUUCGGUGGGGGAUGUGCUCGCGACCUAUCAGCUUGAUGGUGGGGUAAUGGCCUACCAUGGCUUCGACGGGUAGCCGGCCUGAGAGGGGUGACCGGCCACACGUGGGAC